rnacentral:misc_RNA from 1 species
GAUGAAGAACGCAGCGAAAUGCGAUAAGUAGUGUGAAUUGCAGAAUUCAGUGAAUCAUCGAAUCUUUGAACGCACAUUGCGCCCCUUGGUAUUCCAUGGGGCAUGCCUGUUCGAGCGUCAUUUGUACCUUCAAGCUUUGCUUGGUGUUGGGUGUUUGUCCCUCGGGACUCGCCUUAAAGUCAUUGGCAGCCAGUGUUUUGGUUUUGAAGCGCAGCACAAGUCGCGAUUCAAGGCUAUCCGCCCGCUUCCACCAGCCUUUUUCACUUUUGACCUCGGAUCAGGUAGGGAUACCCGCUGAACUUAAGCAUAUCAAUAAGCGGAGGA